CUGUUCAUGAUCGCGGUCAACCUAGCGAUCGACAUCCUGCCGCACGUGAUGCGCCCGGCGCCAUGGAGUACCUCACGGGCGUGCUCGCCUCCCCCAGCUUCCCGAUCUCAACGAGCCUAGCGGCCGUUGUCCUUGUCCUGCUCGAGGAGCGGGAGGGGGAGGGGCGCAUCUAGCCAGCCAGAAAGGGCUUGCUCUGUACCACCACAUCAUCGGCCUGCUGCAGCAUCGAGUUCAACAUGUCAGGUGUAACUGUUAUGAGCAGAGAAGCUGUGAGCAGAGCUAAAGAAGCUCAAAUGUGAAGUGUGAAGCAAGUGUGAAGCCGUGAAGUGUGAAGUCGUCAAGUCCUACUCAGUGAAGAGUAGCAUAUUGUAGCAUAUAUGUGUUGUAAGAUUGUAAUAGAUUUAUUAAGUGGUAUAUUUGAUGAACUUUAUGUGUUCUUUUUGAUCAUGUAUGUGAUUUGAAAACUUGUGAAAUGGAAACUUGACCAAUGGGGCCACUUAUGAAAAUAAUUU